rnacentral:rRNA from 1 species
AUUGAACGCUGGCGGCAGGCCUAACACAUGCAAGUCGAACGGUAACAGGAAACAGCUUGCUGUUUCGCUGACGAGUGGCGGACGGGUGAGUAAUGUCUGGGAAACUGCCUGAUGGAGGGGGGAUAACUACUGGAAACGGUAGCUAAUACCGCAUAACGUCGCAAGACCAAAGAGGGGGGACCCUCGGGCCUCUUGCCAUCGGAUGUGCCCAGAUGGGAUUAGCUUGUUGGUGGGGUAACGGCUCACCAAGGCGACGAUCCCUAGCUGGUCUGAGAGGAUGACCAGCCACACUGGAACUGAGACACGGUCCAGACUCCUACGGGAGGCAGCAGUGGGGAAUAUUGCACAAUGGGCGCAAGCCUGAUGCAGCCAUGCCGCGUGUAUGAAGAAGGCCUUGGGUU